rnacentral:rRNA from 1 species
GACGAACGCUGGCGGCGUGCUUAACACAUGCAAGUCGAACGGAAAGGCCCUGCUUUUGUGGGGUGCUCGAGUGGCGAACGGGUGAGUAACACGUGAGUAACCUGCCCUUGACUUUGGGAUAACUUCAGGAAACUGGGGCUAAUACCGGAUAGGAGCUCCUGCUGCAUGGUGGGGGUUGGAAAGUUUCGGCGGUUGGGGAUGGACUCGCGGCUUAUCAGCUUGUUGGUGGGGUAGUGGCUUACCAAGGCUUUGACGGGUAGCCGGCCUGAGAGGGUGACCGGGCACCAUGGGGCUGGGGUGCGGCCCAGAAUGCAACGGGGGGGAAGGGGGGGGAAUUUUGCCCAAUGGGGGGGAGCCUGAUGGGGCAACGCCGGGUGCGGGAUGACGGCCUUCGGGUUGUAAACCGCUUUCGCCGGUGACGAAGCGUGAGUGACGGUAAUGGGUAAAGAAGCACCGGCUAACUACGUG